rnacentral:rRNA from 1 species
CAGUAGCCGCGGGAAUACGAAGGGGGCUAGCGUUGUUCGGAAUUACUGGGCGUAAAGCGUGCGUAGGCGGUGAGUUAAGUCUGCUGUGAAAUCCCCGGGCUCAACCUGGGAAUGGCAGUGGAUACUGGCUCGCUAGAGUGUGUCAGAGGAUGGUGGAAUUCCCGGUGUAGCGGUGAAAUGCGUAGAGAUCGGGAGGAACAUCAGUGGCGAAGGCGGCCAUCUGGGACAACACUGACGCUGAGGCACGAAAGCGUGGGGAGCAAACAGGAUUAGAUACCCCUGUAGUCCCUGUCUCUUAUAC